rnacentral:lncRNA from 1 species
AGCUCGGGGGAGGUAAAACCUUCCAGUGUAUACAUAUUGGUAAUAACGUUUAAAUAUAUAUGUAUUUUUUAGAAAAACCAACUUGUGGGGGCCAAAGAAACCUGCUCUCAGGGCACCAGCUUUCAGUCUCUGAGUUUCUCCAUAAACAGAACCACAGAAACGCCAUUCGCCCCCCUGUGGGGGAGGAGAACAGGAGCUCAUGGUCUAAAUCAAAGGAAAAUGAUCAAGGCGCCCAAGUUGGAGGCAGACUCCUGUCGGCUGUCAAGCUGGGCAGGUCAACGUCUGCCAUACAGGUCCCGCAGACAGUGGACCAAAGGCAUGUGGAGGAGCAGGCCCACGUCCUGAUAUUCAGUUCUGUGCACGCAGGCACCAGGAGCCUGGCACUGGGGGUGAGAAAUGCGGGGAAGGGCUUCAGUUCCGUGGCAGUUGUGCACAGGUGCUCUGAGUCACUGCAAGGAGCAAUGUUGCAGGACCAACUCCAGACCAGCCACCUGCUCCUGCAAGGUGAGAUGACCGAGGAAUGA